UAUUGUUUAUGCUCUGGGAGUUUCUCUAC
rnacentral:piRNA from 1 species